GAAUAUAGCAGCUUGUAGAGUUAUACCACUUGCCCAAAUCUCUUCCAUGAGCCUCUUUAAGUGUAACAGAAUGCCUGGGAGCACGUAAAUGCUCCUACUUAGAUGCCUACUUAGCCUCUAAUUUUCAUGGGGCCCAUGAAUCCCAUGAAAAAGAACUUUGAACCCUGUCCACAAUUAGAGUUCAGGUAUACGCAGACAUGUUUAAAGACAAGGGACACCCAAAGGAAAGAUUGCACAGAGAGAAAGUGAGCAUCCGAGAGAAAAUCACCACAAGUGAGGCAGAGGGAGGCCGGUCUCAGCAGAGUUUUGGAGGUCGUGAGAAGAAGAGAUAAAGGCAAACCAGUGCUCAGAGGAACCCAACCAUCUCUGAAUUGAGACCAGAGAGCUGUCUCUAUGGAUAGUCCUUAGAGAAGGCAUUUCGGAACACAGUAAACAGCAGCCUGGUGACUCCGAUUACAGGGCCAGUUGCCUUUGUUACAAUAAAAGCAAGUCAUCUACACAGAUUUUUCCUACCAGGAAGAGCAUGUGCUGACCAACAGACAUGAAUUUCAGCCUGGUAGUUACAACAUUCACAGUAUACCCACAUCACUAAGCUGGGAGGCACAUUUUGAGACCCAGAAUCCUGACACCUCCAUGCCUUCAAAAGGACAAACUGCGGCCUGGACCAGCUGGUGAAACAUAAUUCUGAAUCCUGCCCACAGCCUUCGGUGGUUUUGGAUGAAAGGCCAGCGCCUUGGGAGCCCUGCGUUUGAUUUCAAGUUUUAAGGCCGGCACUGGUGGAGCAAUGAAUGGUGAAAGCUCUCCCCUUAAAGGAGCACAGUUGCCUUUAGGUGACUGCUAACUCAGGCUUUUGCUGAGGACAGUGUUUACUUUGUGAGCUUAAUGACAGGGCUGGCUUUCUGGGAGUGUUGCAAUGAAACAGACUCAGACACAGGCCAUCAUGGGCCUCCUCCCUAGCAAGGCCGCCACGGCUGGCAUCUCAAGAGCAGUCCGUUGAACUUGGGAUUUGGGUGUGAGACACAGUUUCAUCAGAAGAAUUUAAACCAAAGUCUACAUUUGCCCUCUAGAUAAAUGUGUGUGUUCAGCAGCAACCACAACUCCUUGCCUCAUUCUCUUGGUUGAUUAUGUGACUGUGAGAAGAAAAGCAAAAGCAAAAAUGCGAAGCGUAGCUAUGAUGCUAUUUUAGUUAAAAAUAUUCUGGUAGAAUUUGAAGGUACCAUAGAGAUUACCUACAGAUGGAAAAAACUGAAGGUCAGAGAUGGGAAGUGCCUUGUCCAAGAUCACACAGCAUAUAAGGGAAGAAGUAGGACUGAAAUCCAGAUUUCUCUGUUCCUGUUCCUGUUUUCUCUUUUCUUUUUUUGAGACAAGGUCUCACUCUGUCGCCCAGGUUGGAGUGCAAUGGUGCAAUCUCGGCUCACUGCAACCUCCAACUCUUAGGCUCCAGAGACCAUCCUACCUCAGCCUCUUUAGUAGCUGAGAUCCUGGCUAUUUUUUAUUUUUGGUAGAGAUAGGGUUUCACCAUGUGGCCCAGUCUUGUCUUGAACUCCUGAGCUCAAACGAUCCACCCACCUUGGCCUCCCAAAGCGUUGGGAAUAUAGUGUGAGCCACUGCACCCGGCCAGGUCCUGGUCUCUUUUCAUUAUUAUACAGCUGUCAACAAUCAUGGAGAGUUCUUUUUCCCUUUUGUUGGGUUCUUGUUCCUUUGCAAAGUCUAUAAAGAACCAAGAUGAUCCAGGAAAUUCAGGGAGUCCUCAUUCACUUCCAAAGGCAGUUUGUUGUCUGUUGGCUGUGCUGUAUGAAUUGCUGUUUCAAUUAAGUUUUUCAACAUUUCCUAUGAAGGCAUGCAAAUGACCACUGAUUCUAAAUAAACCCAUUUAGGUAUUCAGGGUUUAUAAAUAUAGAGAAUCUUGCUUUCUGCCUCAUUCUUUCUGUCUUCCCUGGCAUUCUUCCCUCUAUCCACCUCCACUGAGAUGCAUUUUUAUAAAAGACUUUACUUAGGACACAUAUUUUGAUGAAAUCCUUAACAUUUUUCUUCUUUCCCAAUUUUUAUAUUAUCAUUGUUAUAAUGCAUUACAAUAAUUUAUAUUUUGCAAAUUUGUUUUAAUAUGUUAAUUUUGCAAUGUAACUAUCUCAAGGCUUCUAAUGAGGAGAGGAGGAGGCCACAGAUAGGACUAGAUAGAGAGACUUUUAAAGAUGUGGGUAGGGUGUUUGUGAAUGUCUGGGCAGUGGAAUAUUUAUGCAGCACUGUGGGUGUUUUGAACCCUCUGGAAACUAACAAGCAAGCUCCACACAUAAACUUGGUGGAAGUCCUCCAAACUUUGGACAACACAGAGGCCUUUCAGAAGUCUGAACCAAGUCCAAGUCAAAUUACA
rnacentral:lncRNA from 1 species